UGGGGUGUGGCUAAGUGGCAGAUUGCUUGUCUAGAGGGCCUGAGGUCCUGGGGUCAAUCCCCAGUACCAGAA
rnacentral:tRNA from 1 species